CCUACGGGUGGCUGCAGUGGGGAAUUUUGGACAAUGGGCGCAAGCCUGAUCCAGCCAUUCCGCGUGAGUGAAGAAGGCCUUCGGGUUGUAAAGCUCUUUCGCAAGGGAAGAAAACUUAUCCUCUAACAUAGGAUGAGGUUGACGGUACCUUGAUAAGAAGCACCGGCUAACUACGUGCCAGCAGCCGCGGUAAUACGUAGGGUGCGAGCGUUAAUCGGAAUUACUGGGCGUAGAGAGUGAGCAGGGGUGUGAAAUCCCUGGGCUCAACCGAGGAACUGCGUUGGAAACUGAAUAGCUAGAAUAUGUCAGAGGGGGGUAGAAUUCCACGUGUAGCAGUGAAAUGCGUAGAGAUGUGGAGGAAUACCAAUGGCGAAGGCAGCCCCCUGGGAUAAUAUUGACGCUCAUGCACGAAAGCGUGGGGAGCAAACAGGAUUAGAUACCCGGGUAGUC
rnacentral:rRNA from 1 species